rnacentral:lncRNA from 1 species
AAGGCAACACUAUCCCCAGUUUCUUCAACUGGUUCUCAGACCACAGCCUCCUGGAAUUCGACAGGAUUGCAGAGAUUAUCAAAGCAGAACUGUGGCCCAACCCCCUCCAGUACUACCUGAUGGGUGAUGGCCCCCGCAGGGGAUUUCGAGACCCAGUCAGGCAGCCAGUGGAGAGCCCCAGGACCUUCAGGUUCCAGUCCGGCUAACUCCUGCCCUUGGGAGAAGCUCCUGCACAAGUUUCCUUACCACCUCCUCUUGGACCUGUGCUUAGCCAACAGCAUGCAGUCUUCCAUUUACUUUCUCUUCACACUGGAUUAUUUUGCCCUCUGGUCCUUCUAAAUACUCAACAGUCAGUGGCAAGAUAGUUGCUUAUAUGCCUAUGCUCUUCUUCCUCUGGGCCUUCCUGCUGUUCAGCAUCGUGUUACAUGUUCCAAGUGCACGGCCUUCUACUGCUUCUAUGCCAAGCACACGACACUGUAGAUAUGCACUGUCUUCUCUUGCAUGUCCUGGGCCCUGUCUAUGACUGUGUCCUUCUCCCAGUUGUUAAAGUGGUUAUCUACCGCAAAGAAGCUUGAUAUACCUUUGCAAAUACUUAACUGGGCUUCAUACUUUAUGCUGGCUAUCCUCCUGAUACCCACGUACUCUGUGGCAAGAUUGUUGAGUUUCACUGCUGCAAGAUGAAGCUGAUAUAGUUGAUGCCAGCCAUCAACUCAAAACUGAACAUUCUAGGCAUGAGUGAGGUAACAGAUGAAACGUGUUCUGUGUUAUCAUGUCGGUCUUCUGAAUGCCUUUGGUCACUCUGCGUUGUGACCAGGUGCUGGUGAGUAUGAAGGUCUGUGAUACGGCUCACCCUAAUCUGCUCUCAGACUUCUGGAUGAGCUUUGUACAGGCACUAGUGCCUGCCUCUUCAGAAACUAUCUGUAGAGUUAAGCUGCUGGGCAGUUCACAGGAACCAGUCCCUUCCCUACCCAUCGAAUGGCUACCCCUAAACCCAGCUGGCUCUCAGGCAGGUUGGGCAGUCAUAAUGCCACAGUGCCCAAAGCCAAGCUUGGGUCAUCCGGUGUCCCUUCUGACAGCCCUUUGAGCCUUAGCCAACAAGUCACCCUUAAUCCAGGCAACUUAAUUAGGCGUCCCCCUUCCAACCCCUCCUGCAUCCAUUCUGAAUAUGACAAAGUUACCAGGGUAGGGGCACCAAGGAGGAGGUAUUUCAGGUCUGUGGGGUCUGUUACAUCUGUCUUUGUCGCCCUCCCUCCUUCCCUCCUUUCCUCUCCCUCCUUUCCGAAGCAGUUACAGCUCAGAAACAGAAAACUGGCAAAGCAGGCUUUUUGUUUAAUUUGCUUGCCCUUUGUUGUGUCCAGAAGGAGAAGGGUACUGUCCACAGGACUCCAGGUCUCUUACGCCCUCUUCUGCCCUUUACCUUCACCCUGCUUCCUUUAGCCAAAUCUAUAAACAUUUCAGAGGGUAACCUGCAGGUGAAUUGCCUACUUAUGGGCAUUGUUCUUUGGGGCCUACUCUUGACAACCCCAUCCUCUUCCAUAUCCAUUCACAAAGACCUUCCAUGUGUUUCUUGAACUUUAGUCUGGGAAACUGAGAAGAGAGACAGAAGGGCCUCACAGUGGCUUCAAGACAGAUGCAGAGCAUGUUGUGAUCCAAGGCAAUCAAAAUUUAGUUCACUCGAAUUUUCUAAGCAUGGAAAUUCAUUUUUGGGCCUUGGACCACUUAGAAGUAACCCCAGGGCAGCAUUUUGAGGGUCACUCCUGUCCUCUGUUACCACCCUGAUGUCCCCUGGGCCUCCAUCCUACUGCCGGGCCUUCUUGGCUCUCAGUCACCAACUUCUGCAUUUCCUUCCCUGCUUCUGACCUAACAUGACAGAGUAGGCUGCAGUCUGCAUUGCGGGGCUGCCAAGCCUCCUUGCUGCAGUGUAAGGGGAUUGGGAUGUGGGGACAGAGAGCAGUGCGGAGGGUCCUUGGCUGUUGAAACUGAAAGCCCAGCGAACAGAUGAGCUUGCUGUGCAUUGGGCUGGGGAAGGCAGACAGCAAAGAUUGGCACCCUGCAGGGUCAGGGCUGGGAGGGGAGGCCCCUGAGGUUUUUCCCAAGAGCAGUGGGAGAAUGAGUGAUUGAUGUUUUAAAAAGGAUGCUUGGAUGGGUUAGGUUUUCUCCAGUUUUUCCUAAAGCCUUGAAAUCACCGGUAGAUUUUUGUACACACAAGUGCAAGUCUGAGUGUUUUCUAUUACUCUAGAACAUACGUGAAUGAUUAAUGAUACAUGCUCCUUAUUUUACUGUGUUUGAGUAAAGUCCUAUUAAUCCUUUCUCCAUUUUUGCUUGCUGGCAAAAUUAACAUUUACAGGCCUGCUUUGUGCUUGUAAUUGAGAAUGUGUGCAAAAAUAUCAAGCUUGUUUCCUGUGUAGUAUGAAGACAUCUGUGAAUAUUUAUUAAUAUAUCAGCUUGUUCUGGUUUCUCUUCUUAUAUAGCUCUAUUCUUAGAAAUAUAAUUUGAAUGUGAUCUUUGGAAUUUUCCAAAUUGUUGCUGUCUUGUGAAGGUAUUCUCAAACGGAAAAACAUAACUCUGUUGUUUUGAUAUUUCUUACCGUGGAACUGUUGUACUUGACAUCUAUGUUCCUAACCAGUGUAAGUACUUAUAGAAUUGCUCUGUCAAACUAAACAAAGAUAGUUAGUACUUUAGUAUUCUCCCAUGUGCUUGAAGGAAAAAUAAGUAUGUUACUCUUCUGCUGUAGUUGUUUUCACCAAAAAAUAAAAAUAAAUAAAGUUCUGUCUCUUU